AGCGCAGACGGUUGAUUAAGUCUGAUGUGGAAGCCCGGAGCUCAACUCCGGAAUGGCAUUGGAAACUGGUUAACUUGAGUGCAGUAGAGGUAAGUGGAACUCCAUGUGUAGCGGUGGAAUGCGUAGAUAUAUGGAAGAACACCAGUGGCGAAGGCGGCUUACUGGACUGUAACUGACGUUGAGGCUCGAAAGUGUGGUAGCAAACA
rnacentral:rRNA from 1 species